GCGGCGAGAGUUUCUCCUUCACCUCAGGUGGGCGAUCGGUUUGGUGGGUAGGCAUGGGCAGCAUAGUGAGUCCGUCUGCUCGGGCUCUCUGUCUUUGUGGUAAGGGAUAGCCGGUGUUCUUGCUGUGACAUCGCCGCCAGCGGCGGUGGAUUCUCAUCCUGCGCGGCGGUUGGCGGGUUGGUAGCUUGGGGGCUAUGGCCCUGUCCGAC